rnacentral:rRNA from 1 species
AUUGAACGCUGGCGGCAUGCCUUACACAUGCAAGUCGAACGGUAACGCGGGGGCGAACCCUGGCGACGAGUGGCGAACGGGUGAGUAAUACAUCGGAACGUGUCCUGUUGUGGGGGAUAACCCAUCGAAAGGUGAGCUAAUACCGCAUGAUCUGGAGACAGCAAAGCAGGGGACCGGAAACGGCCUUGCGCGAUUGGAGCGGCCGAUGUCCGAUUAGCUAGUUGGCGGGGAAAGCCCACCAAGGCAACGAUCGGUAGCUGGUCUGAGAGGAUGAUCAGCCACACUGGGACUGAGACACGGCCCAGACUCCUACCGGGAGGCGAGCAGUGGGGAAGUAAUUUGGACAAUGGGCGAAAGCCUGAUCCAGCAAUGCCGCGUGUGUGAAGAAGGCCUUAGGGUUGUAAAGCACUUUCAGCAGGGAAG